rnacentral:lncRNA from 1 species
AGCUGCUCGGGGCUGCUGGGACCCAGCUGCGCGUAGUGCUCGAUGAAGUCGCCCAGCGAGUCGCGGAACUCGGCGGCCACCGCCAUCGACAGCGUGAGGCGGCUCUUGGAGCCGCCCGCGCCCACCUCGGCGAUCUUGAGGAAGCGGCCCUUGGCGUUCUGCUUCACGUCCAGGUAGAAGCGCUUGUUCUGGAUGUCCAGCCGCUUCGAGGCCAGCUCCUGCGUCUCCUGCUCGCCGCCCGGCCCGCCACCGCCGCCGCCGCCGCCGCGGGGCGCGGGCUGGAAGCCGCCGGGCCCGCCGCCGCCGCCGCCGCCACCGCCGCGCUGUCGCCGUCCGCCAUCUUCUCGGCCGCCGCCUCGCCGCCGCCGCCCGCUGCGCUCGCGCCCCCGCCCUCCGCCCUGCGGCUCGCGCUCCGGGGCCCCCCAGCCUCGCCCGCCGGCUCCUCACGCGCGCCCGCCGCUCAUCGCCGGUCGCCGCCGCCCCCCAUCGCCUCCGCGCCCCGCCCCCGCGGCUUCCGUGCGGCACGGCCCGCUUCCGGCGCGCGCCUCCCGUGACGUCACUCCGCCCCGCCCGCCGCCGCCUCCCGGCCGGAAGACCCACACACACCACGCCGGCGGGGCGCAGAGGUGACGUCGCUGGCCGCGCCGGCAAGGCGUUCUGCGGCUACCCCGGGCGAGCCUAUGUUUCUGUCCGCUGGUUUUGGGGUCCUCUUUCUUGAUGCUUUACUGACGCUCCCGGUUUCAGAGGGUUUAGUGUGUGACUAGAUGACUCUGUUGCUUUGGGGCUGUGGGAAGGCAGAACGUUUUGCCGAGAAGCACAUGAAUUAUUCAACAGUGGAGCCAAUCACCUCCUGGCGCCUGGGAAAGCAGAGAGACAGGAAAGGGCCAGGGGCUAGGGAUCUUUCCAGAGCAUACCCCAGUAACCUGUUUUCUCCAGUGAGAUCCUACUUCUCACUAAUGCUACUAGAUUAUUAAUCCUCAGGGACGAGUACACUGAUUAAGUCGGACUCCUAACGAUUGGAUCUAGCAAUCCUUCAGUAAAUAAGCCCGUGUUUCU